GAUUGCCCCGCCUCCUAGUGAUAACAUGAGGAUUGCCCCGCCUCCUAGCGAUAACCCCAGGAUUGCCCGCCUCCUAGUGAUUAUCCUGAUAUCCCCCUGCUCCUCACGAUAGCCCCAGUGCGACCGGCACCCACCAAUUUCUCUUCUCCUGUGGGUCCUCUCGGGGCUGCCAUCCAGGAUGUAGGUGAUGGCCUCGGGAUUGAAGGAGGCGGCGGCCCUCUCCCUGCUUAAAUCUGGGUUCAUUCUCUUGUCUGUCCGGCUGGAAUAAGCAACUCAGACCUUCGGCCUCACUAGUGACAGCUAAACCCCGCCCCUCCCGACCACAAGACGGAAAAGGGCGGCGAUCUAGCGGGAACCCGUCCCCCAGACUACAACUCCCAGCAGGCCCCGCGGUGGGCGUGGCCAUAUCAGUGACCAAGUAGGAAAUAAGCAAAAGUCACGGCGGGAUGAUUAGAUUCGAGUGUCAUAAGUGCGAAUUUAUAGGGACCAUCGCCAUGGAGUCAUCUUGUGAUGUCAUCAACCAAGUUAACCUUAGGGCCAGAAAUGACAGUUUUUUCAGUUGUGGCUUUGCAGUCAGAA